CGAUGUUCUAUAACGGAACGAAAAUGUAGAUCUAAGCUAAGAUCCUUGAUAAAGAGAUUGUAGAGAUGCACGACAAGAAAUUUGAGAUGUAACGACGACCAUGUUAAAUUAACUUAAAUUGUGUUCUGAAUGAGGAGGGAAAGAGGAGAAUAUGCAGAAAGCGAUGUUCUGAACAGUGUCACGAGGAAAUUGCGUGGUUUUAGGAUGUGACUUCUGCUGAAUUCCAGUCCAGUAGAUAUUUGGGUUGAUUUUAAAAUAAGAUAAUCAAAGUUUCUUGAGUAAAAAGAAAGAGGACAAGAAUAGAAUGGAAAAAAAAAGAAAAAAAUAUUGGAAAAGAUGUAAUUAGGAAAAAAAAAGGAAUUAAAUUCCGCGAUUGAAGGUACAGGCGGAAGUGCAGGUGCUUUCAAUUCGAAUUGGAAAUUACUGGAUGAAGUCUACUCGCCGGUGGACCGUGCAACGGCACAUCAAGAAUCCCAGUUAUCUCUCCAACCUAACCUGAAACGAUAAGAGGGACGUUUAUGUAAAUUUGUUAAUAAAAUUAUCUAUGGAAAAAAAAAA